AUUUACUCCAACUUUCAAUAUCCAGCCCAAACGUUUCUCCUCACUCUUCCUUCCUUUCAAUAGUUUGAAACCAUCCCAACUCCUCUCUCUCUCUCUCUCUCUCUCUCUCUCUGUGUGGAGAUGAACUAUCCCAUGGCCAAGGAAUAUAAUGUCCCUCCGGUGGAAACACCUGCAGCGUUUGUAACAGCGGCGGCUUUCAACGGUACCGUUCCAGUUGCCAUAGUCCGCAAACCCUAGCAUCCCAUUCAUGUCCCUCGACGUCGUUCUUGGCUCCGCAAUUCGGUGGUAAUAUUUCGGGAAUCGAAACCGGGUUGGAGAACAAACCACCUCUACUCAAAAAGUUAGGAAUCAAUCCGAGACAAAUUUGGAGCAAAACUGUAUUGAUUGUGAACCCGUUUAGAGUGAACACGAAUCUACAAGAAUAUACUAAUUUGUCAGAUUACAUAUGGUACUGUACUUAAGUUGAUGCAUGAGAAAACAAAGGUCCAGCUGCAUUCACAUGAGGUUCCAUAUGGAUCUGGAAUUAGGCAGCAGUCGGUUACAGGUUUUUCUGUUGUUGAUGAUUCAAAUAGUUACUGGGUACUCUCUAUAUCUCUUUCUCAUUUUCAAGGCAAGGUCACGAUUCUCACGACCUCCACUCAGGGAAUCGGCUCCAGCAUCGCCGAGCAUCUCGGCUUCGCAAACAAGUUUUGAUUAUUCUGCAGAAAAAUGUAGAUAAGGCUGUGGAGAAGCUUAAAUCAAGAGGAAUUGAAGUGUUUGAAGUGGUUUGUCAUGUGUCUGUAGUUCAACAAAGGAAGAAUAUGGUAGAAAGACUGUUCAGGUUAGAAAUUAUUUGGAGAGAUGCAAAAUAUGAUCAAAAAACUUAAAGACUUUGUGCUUUAAGUUUUUUCAUUUUUUUAAUGUGUAAUCACAGUUAAUUUUUUUAUUAUUAAUUUCUUUGUAUAUAUUUUUGAACAUUCAACUUUUAUUUUUGAAAUAUGUGACGUUAUUCCAUUCAAUAUAUAGUUAUGAUUCAAAAGACAGUAUAUAUAUUGUGUAUUAUAUUCUUCAAAUGCGUACAAAAAUAAUAUUGAUUAUUCUUCAAAUAUGUCGAACCCUUUUUUUUUUUAUCACACGUACUAACUGUGAUGAGAAAUGUUGUAAUGACUCGGAUUUUAAUUCUUAUUGGAUUGAUGUAAAGUGGUGUCCGUCACCUUAAAACUUGUAUGGUUGUUGGACUCUUGAUAUUGAUGGGUUGGCAAGUGAACUUUAAAUAUUAUAA